rnacentral:lncRNA from 1 species
AAUCAAUUCCCAUUGUUCCUUCUUCAACUGAAUAUCAAUCGAAUUGAUUACUUGUGAUUCUUAAUCACUAUUCAACCAUCGGAUCGGUCAAUACUUCUAGUGUGUGUGACCCCAUAGGUUUUAUUCUGACUGGUAGUGAGAUAUAUUGCAAUCUCUAUCACAAUAUCAUUGAAAACUUCUUUCAAUGGGUUGGAACGAUUCCAACUCAACUCAUUAGGGUUUAUCGAUCAUCGAGACAAUCCCUAUGAGUCCCACCAUCCACCAGUGACACCUAGCAGCAUGUAGUGGCUAUCCAGCAGAAUAGAAUGGUGAACCUCUAGGUGCAGUUAUUAUGUGAUACAGUCCUACUAUCGUGGAUCCCUACAGGACGGAGGUCAUGGACAACUCGUCAAACCCCAUCGUCUGUCA